rnacentral:rRNA from 1 species
UACGAAGGGGGCUAGCGUUGUUCGGAUUUACUGGGCGUAAAGCGCACGUAGGCGGAUCGUUAAGUCGGGGGUGAAAUCCUGGAGCUCAACUCCAGAACUGCCUUCGAUACUGGCGAUCUCGAGUCCGGAAGAGGUGAGUGGAACUCCUAGUGUAGAGGUGGAAUUCGUAGAUAUUAGGAAGAACACCAGUGGCGAAGGCGGCUCACUGAUCCGGUACUGACGCUGAGGUGCGAAAGCGUGGGGAGCAAACAGG